AAUAGUGGCGCACGGGUGCGUAACGCGUAACCAACCUACCCGAAUCUGGGGGAUAGCCCGCCGAAAGGCGGAUUAAUACCGCAUAAAACUGCAGAACGGCAUCGUUUAACAGUUAAAGAUUUAUUGGAUUCGGAUGGGGUUGCGUGCCAUUAGCUAGUUGGGGAGGUAACGGCUCACCAAGGCGACGAUGGCUAGGGGAGCUGAGAGGCUGGUCCCCCACACGGGCACUGAGAUACGGGCCCGACUCCUACGGGAGGCAGCAGUAGGGAAUAUUGGGCAAUGGUCGAGAGACUGACCCAGCCAUGCCGCGUGCAGGAUGAAGGCUUUCUGAGUCGUAAACUGCUUUUGCCAGGGAAAAAAAAAGGGGAUGCGUCCUCUACUGACGGUACCUGGUGAAUAAGCACCGGCUAACUCCGUGCCAGCAGCCGCGGUAAUACGGAGGGUGCAAGCGUUGUCCGGAUUUAUUGGGUUUAAAGGGUGCGUAGGCGGCCAUUUAAGUCUGGGGUGAAAGCCCGUUGCUCAACAACGGA
rnacentral:rRNA from 1 species